AGAGUUUGAUCCUGGCUCAGGACGAACGCUGGCGGCGUGCCUAACACAUGCAAGUCGAGCGGGAUCCAUCCAGUAGCAAUACUGGGGAAGAUCUAGCGGCGAACGGGUGAGUAACACGUGAGAAACCUGCCCCGAAGUCUGGGAUAACCCGAGGAAACUCGAGCUAAUACCGGAUGCCCUCCUCUGGUCGCAUGGCCGGUUGAGGAAAGAUUCAUCGCUUCGGGAGGGUCUCGCGGCCUAUCAGCUAGUUGGUGGGGUAACGGCCCACCAAGGCGUCGACGGGUAGCUGGUCUGAGAGGACGAUCAGCCACACUGGGACUGAGACACGGCCCAGACUCCUACGGGAGGCAGCAGUGGGGAAUCUUGCGCAAUGGGCGAAAGCCUGACGCAGCAACGCCGCGUGCGGGAUGAAGGCCCUCGGGUUGUAAACCGCUUUCAGGAGGGACGAAAUUGACGGUACCUCCAGAAGAAGCCCCGGCCAACUACGUGCCAGCAGCCGCGGUAACACGUAGGGGGCAAGCGUUGUCCGGAUUUAUUGGGCGUAAAGAGCUCGUAGGCGGCUUAGUAAGUCGGGUGUGAAACCUCCAGGCUCAACCUGGAGACGCCACCCGAUACUGCUGUGGCUAGAGUCCGGUAGGGGAGCGUGGAAUUCCUGGUGUAGCGGUGAAAUGCGCAGAUAUCAGGAGGAACACCAGCGGGCGAAGGCGGCGCUCNNGGGCGGUACUGACGCUGAGGANCGANAGCGUGG
rnacentral:rRNA from 1 species